UGGGGAAUAUUGGGCAAUGGGCGCAAGCCUGACCCAGCAACGCCGCGUGAAGGAAGAAGGCUUUCGGGUUGUAAACUUCUUUUCUCAGGGACGAAGCAAGUGACGGUACCUGAGGAAUAAGCCACGGCUAACUACGUGCCAGCAGCCGCGGUAAUACGUAGGUGGCAAGCGUUAUCCGGAUUUACUGGGUGUAAAGGGCGUGUAGGCGGGAAAGCAAGUCAGAUGUGAAAACCAUGGGCUCAACCUGUGGCCUGCAUUUGAAACUGUUUUUCUUGAGUACUGGAGAGGCAGACGGAAUUCCUAGUGUAGCGGUGAAAUGCGUAGAUAUUAGGAGGAACACCAGUGGCGAAGGCGGUCUGCUGGACAGCAACUGACGCUGAGGCGCGAAAGCGUGGGGAGCAAACAGGAUUAGAUACCC
rnacentral:rRNA from 1 species